CUGCGAGUCCAGUGCGCUGAGCUCCGCCGCCCUGUGCGCAUCUCCAGCCGAACACAGCCGGACCAGCGCGGGAUGGACGCGCCAGAAAAGCAAUGAGGACUAUUUUGGGCGCUUUUAUCCGAAUCUAGAAGAUCGUAUACAUCCGCAGAGAGUCUGAGAGUGGGAGAUUAAAACGCGAAGGCAUCAUGGGCUGUGUGGGCUCUAAGAAGGAGCAGGAGGCUUUUGGCAAAGGGACCGGCAACAACGAGCUGCUGAACCCAGCGCAGACGGCACACUACGUCAAAGAUCCCACCGCUGGAACCUCUGGCAGCAAAGCUGCCAAAAUGCUUUCCAAUGCAAACUCUUCAGAUGGAGAGAGCAUUGCCAUGGCGCUGUACGACUACGAGGCCAUUCAUGAAGGAGACCUCGGCUUCAAAAAGGGCGACAAGCUCAAAAUCUUAGAAGAGUCGGGCGAGUGGUGGAGAGCCAUGCUAAUCAGCACAGGCAAGGAAGGCUACAUCCCCAGCAAUUAUGUAGCCAAAGAUACUCUGGAAGCGGAAGAAUGGUUCUUCAAGGGCGUCAGCAGGAAAGAUGCUGAGCGGCAGCUGCUUGCCCCUGGGAACAAAGUGGGAUCCUUCAUGAUCCGAGACAGUGAGACCACCAAGGGCAGCUACUCCCUGUCUGUCCGGGACAGCGAUGCUCAGUCCGGCGACACAGUCAAACAUUACAAGAUCCGUACGCUGGACAACGGAGGAUUCUACAUCUCACCUCGUAUCACCUUCAGCACCCUGCAGGAGCUUGUCAGCCAUUACAAGAAGCAGGGAGAUGGCCUCUGCCAAUCCUUGACCAACCCAUGCUUGAGCCCCAAACCUGAGAAACCGUGGGAGAAGGACGCCUGGGAAAUCCCGAGAUCUUCACUCAAGCUGGAGAAGAGGCUUGGUGCAGGACAGUUCGGAGAAGUCUGGAUGGCUACGUACAAUAAGCACACCAAGGUGGCGGUGAAGACCAUGAAGCCUGGCAGUAUGUCGGUGGAGGCCUUCAUGAUGGAGGCCAACCUGAUGAAGACUCUGCAGCACGACAAGCUGGUUCGACUGAAUGCUGUGGUGACCAAGGAGGAGCCGAUCUACAUCAUCACUGAGUUUAUGGAGAAAGGUAGUUUAUUAGACUUUAUAAAGAGUGACGAAGGAAAUCGCGUCCAGCUUCCAAAGCUCAUCGACUUCUCUGCUCAGAUUGCGGAGGGAAUGGCUUACAUUGAGCAGAGGAACUACAUCCACAGAGACCUGAGAGCCGCCAACAUCCUCGUCAAUAAGGCCUUAGUGUGCAAAAUUGCUGACUUUGGUCUCGCUCGAAUCAUCGAAGACAACGAGUACACGGCCAGAGAAGGAGCUAAGUUCCCCAUCAAAUGGACGGCCCCUGAAGCCAUCAACUACGGCUCCUUCACAAUCAAAUCUGACGUCUGGUCCUUUGGCAUCCUGCUGACUGAGAUCAUCAGCUAUGGACGAACACCUUACCCAGGGAUGACCAACCCAGAAGUGAUCCGCUCCCUGGAGAAGGGCUACCGGAUGCAGCGCCUGGACAGCUGUCCCACCGAACUCUAUGAAAUCAUGCUGGAAUGCUGGAAGAACAAGCCCGAGGACCGACCCACUUUUGAUUACCUGCAGAGUGUCCUGGAGGAUUUCUACACAGCCACGGAGAGCCAGUAUCAGCAGCAGCCGUGAGGCUUCCGCUACAGUGCUGUUCCAUUAAUAUGAACUGCAGCAGGAAGGCCAGUUUCUACAAGCAGCGGUGCAGUUCAGAGCACACAUAUGUAGUGUCUUUAUUAUCUGUCUGUCUUAUUUCAAUGCUCUUAUCACAUAGGGACUGUACACAAGUUAUUGGUGGGUGGAACAGCUAUUUUGUCAGAAACUAGGUCCUAUAUAAUACUUAAUGUUCUCUUUGGGUGCCCUUCCUUUAAAUGAGGACAUUUUAACGAUUUUCCCGCACGGCAACGCACCGCAUCUGAAAAUCACACGGACGGCGGGCGGUCACUAGCGGACCACAACAUGGUCACAUGACAGCUCUGGACCAACAGCAGGCCGCUACGUGGUCACAUGACCGAGCUUUCACCUGGACAGUCCGGCAGACAAGUCGGAUAAACACAGCGGCUCGGCCGCAAAAUUUCCCUUUUAUUUCAAAAAACACGUCAGCGAAAAGUAUUUCUGAAAGCAUUUGAGGCGAGAAAUAAUCUGUGCAGCAGCUGAAUCUGUCCUCGUUUUAGGUCACUGACGCCUAGUUUAGAAGUUUGAGGACAGUUUCACGAUACGUGGAAUCUCUGCACGCUGCAUCUCAAUUGCAUGAAGUAGACUGGACUCCGCCUGCAGAGAUUAGGUAGGGGGCAAAAAAAUAAAAAAAUCGGAUAAAUCGUGAAUCGGGAUUUUUGUGAAAAAAUCGAUUUUUUUUAGGCCAUAUCGCCCAGCCCUAGUCCAAAAACAUGCUGAGGUUAAUUGGUAACUCUAAAUUGUACGUAGGUGAGAAUGUGAGUGUGAUUGUUUGUCUCUAUGUGUAGCCCUGAGAUAGACUGGUGACUUGUCCAGGGUGUCUCUUGCCUUCACCCUAAAUCUGCUGGGAUAGAUUCCAGCCCCCUAAUCAAGAAAAAGCGGUGUAUAGAUAAUGGAUGGAUGGAUAAUAGGAUGUGCAAGUGUGUACAUGAGAACAGAGGGAUAGCUUAUUCGGUAUAUUUCAGAUCGCAUGAAGCUCCCCAACAUUAUGAGCAGAAAACAUGUGGCCUAACAUCUAAAAUAUGUCUCUGAAGGGCACCCAGGUAGCUCAACAGGUUGAGUGGGUGGCCCAUAAAUUGGGGUUGUAGUCCCCAUGCGGCUGUUGUGGGUUCAAUUCUCGCCCAUGGCCCUUUGCUGCAGGUCAUUCCCCCUGUCUUCCUCUCACUGUGACUGUCAAAUAAAGCUGCAAAAAGGCCAAAAAAAAUUAAAACAUCUCUCUGACUAGAGAUAAUUGCAGAUAAUGAAUCGGCUUCAAUUUCGAGUUUUGCAGGUGCGGGGAAUUUUGAAGAUUGUACUGGCAGAUUCUUCUGUCAUUAUGUGCAAGUGGAGAUAUAAUGUGGCUUGUUCACAGGGAGGAAAAGCUUGACUAAGACUUCUACCAAAUUUGCAGGUGGAGACAGGAUUUUAGAUUUUCCCAAAAUAAAAAUAAAAAAAUCCACUUUUGCCCCCCAACUAUAGCUUGUGUGCAGGCCCUAACAUGCUUUAAAAGUGUUCUAGAUGCAGUACAUAUACUGUAACAGCAUUUCCCUGAACACAAUAUUCACAGACAGCUGAUUGUAGGUCACCUGGAUUCAGUAGUUGUGCUCCAUCACACAUUGUGCAGAUUUCAACCACAACACAGAUGUUCAUGGUGAAACGUGAGCUCCGAUUCGACUCACAGCUCACCCAGAAACCGGAUUGUCAACUGACCCUGUGUGCAGGAAUUCACAUUUUGAAAGGAAAGAAGGUGUCGUGAACUUUACAGACUGCAACAUAUAAGACCGAUUAUGCUUAAAUCCUCUUCUGUUUAUAUUCUAGAGAUGUUUUCUAUGACGCUGUGGCUUGUUUCAGAAUUCCUCCUCCAUAGUGCCUUCUGCAGCAAUUUUCUAUUUCUUCCAGAUUUAACAUGUACAAUAUAUUCUAUAUAAAUCUGUAUAUACGCUGAUACACAUGAAGAGAUGCAAGUAUUCAGGGUCUUUAAUUAAGAAUGCUUGCUGAUUCUUACAUGUCUUUCCUUUAUUACUUAAAUUAUUGAAAUAAACAGUGAAAAGGUACAUUUUAAAACACGUAUUUCUGGCUCGUUGUCUUCCUACAAGUAAAAGCUUUUUCUAUCUUUUUAUUUAGUAAGCUGCAUUUUUGUUUUACUCUGUUUGGAAAAUGUUUUUUUCUAAAAAGUUGGAAAUAGUUUAACAGUUAAUGCACAACAGGCAUAAAAAAUAUCACAUAGUAAUAACAAUACAAUGUUCAUGGCUUUGAGUGGAAUAGUUUCAGUGUGUUUAUUGGACCGAAAUCCUAAAAUUCCAAAGCUGGUAUUAGACUUUAAGAUUUCAUUCUGUAUCAGUCUUUCAGAGAAAAAAACUGUGAGAUUUUUUCUUUCAUAAACCGGUUUGUUUGAAUCCUUACUCAGCUCUGUAUAGGCUAAUAUUAAUAGGGUUAAGAAUAUUUUUGUGUUUUUCUUCAUCAAUAUUAAACCAGCGGCAUAUUUUGUGAGAUGCUUUAUUCAAUGCAAAUGUCAUUAAAAAUGUUUCAAUAAAUUGUUUAAGAAAAUA